ACACAGGAGUUAGUCUCCCACUGCACAUCUACCCACCGCUCUGACGUCGUCCAUAUCACCUCGUCCUUAAUUAAUGAAUGCUGCUAAUUGAUUCAGAACCAAUCAACAAAUCAUUUGCAUAACAACAAGAACAACAUGAUUGAUUACUCAUUGAAGGUCCUGUGUGUUAUCCUAAUGUCCCAUUUGGAGCUUUCCUUCCUCACAAAGAGUUCAGCCAGGCAUGCUAGCAAAGUGCCAAUUACCAGCCAGGCUUCAUGAGGAUAUGAAAAUGAAACGGGGUGAGAUAAGAAAAUAUUGUUAACCAGAAACAGAGAGCAGGUUCACAGUGGAAAUGUAGAGAAAUGCCGUUUGGAAUGGAGCUGGUUGAAGAUAAAAGACUUUUUAACAAGCUGAAGGGAUUAACUGGUUAUCAGAGCAGGAGUUGGAUUCCCUUUGGCUUUGGGAGAGAUGUGGCCAGAGGCUCUGGGACCCUCGCUGGGGAUUAGGAGUCAUGGGGUCUCCUGUUUACUUUACAUACAGGAUCGGUCAUGGUGCUAAGCUCACACCAAUGGGAUCUUAGAGCCAUAUUUCUCACUGACCGGGUCACAACUUUUCACCUUCUUCACAGUCAUAUUAUGUUUUUUUUUUUUUUUUUUUUUAAAGAGUCAUUGUAUUGUAUGUUUAGUUAGGCCCUUCAAAAAUGCACUCAUAGUUGUCAUAGUUCUAUUAUUUUCUAUAUUUUCAGUUGUUCUGAGUCUUUGGUGUUGAUUAAUAAAUUAUAGCUUGCAGGA